UGUCAUCGUCGGUGAGCUCUCUCGGUUCCACGUCUCGGUUGCGUAUCGUUGCGCUGCCGUUCAUACGCAUUAUAUUAUUAUUAGAGUUUUAAUUCCUCCAAACACCGACACACAUCAACAUGGAACAUAUUUUGUUAUUAAUGUAAUACAAACACAAACGGCAUAAUGUACCACAGCAGUGAACUUGGCAGUCAGAACUGUAGCCCUUCAUCGCCCCUCCCUCCGGCGCUCUUAAACUUCUGUGACAGCACACCUUAUGCCGUUCGCGUGUCGUGUUCAACACACCUCUCUAUGCGCGUUCUCGCCAACUCAAUACUGUCCUCACGGCAAUGUAGUAAAUAGUGUAAACAUUGUAUUACUUAUAGUAAUAAUGAUCUUCAUAAUGAGUAUUGUUAUAUUAAAUACUUUUCAAUGCGUUUCGGCAGUGAACAGCUCAACUAUUGUGUUGAAUAAAAUUACAACUAAGAUAACGAUAAGAGAAACCUGGCCGUAUUAGAUACUGAAAUUCAGAUUUUUUUUCAGUUGGGCUUGACGUGGUGAUAAUGUAAUUUUUGUACGACUGAGUAUGUUAACUUUAGGAUUGUUCGCUAAGACAAAAAUGAUAAUCAGUUAAUUAAAAUAAAUUACUAUAUAUAUUAUUCUUACUACGAUGUGUUGUUGUUGCUAGUGAGAUUAUGGACUUAUGUGCAUCGUAGUGUCAAAUGUCAAUUAAUGAUUGUUCGCAUAGCAUUGAAAAAACAAGUUCAAAAGAUUAAGUAAAAAUAAAUGAUAGACGUAAUUGGAUUUUAAAGUGUGAUGAAUAUUAUGCAAAUCUAUAAAAUGGUUCAAGAUGAAUGUUAAGAACUACUUUUAAUCAAUAAAGUAGCAAAAAUUUUGAGAAGAGAUUUUUAUGACUCGUUCAUGAGCUGAAAUAAAAUAAAAAUUUGGAGCGAUACAACUCAUCUUUGUUGCUCAUCGGUAUAGUGACUCAUAACGUCGGACAUAAAUUGUCUUAGUAACCGAACUGAAAUUACGUACUCGAAAAACAUUAAUUUGACACGUUAUUCAACUACUGUUUUGAAUGUCUUUCGCAAUAACCGAUCAAUGAACUCCUAAGUAGGUAAGUGUAUACAACUAACUUACACUGUAUAUUAAGUGUAAACAGUGCAAGACAUGACGUCAUAUACAAACAUCCGUUAGUUUUGUAAGCUAAUUGUAAAAUGCAUUACUGCUGAAGAGUGAAUAAAACUUUACAUUUUUUUUUUUAUUAUUAUUUUUACUUAAAAUAUUUCAUAAACCUUAAUUAAUGUUCUACAUACAGUAUAAUAUUCUUGUUUUAUGACGAAGUAUUUUAGUUCAAAAGAAAGAGUUCAAAUUUCUAAUCAAAAUCAUUACAGUGUUCAUAAAUACACUUCAUUGCUGUAAAAACGUUGUGAGGACCAUACUUAAAACUUUAAAGAUUCAGAUAAUUUAGGGAACCAACUUAUAAAUAAAAUAUAGGUUUGGAGAAAUCCCAAAUUCGUGUGUUUGAUCACCACCAAGGAUAAAUAUGCAACGUUCCUUGAAUACUAAGUACAGAAUGAUAAAGUUAUUGAUACAGAUUAGUUCGGUUAAAUGAAACUUAUUUCUAUUCGCUUUCUUUAGUUUAAAGUGAAUAUAAUUAGUUUUCAUGGGUUAUAUUUCUUAACCUUGUUGUUUAAUAUUUCAUAUAAAUAAACUAAAUCAUAAGCUGUGUUGGUUAUCGAUGUUGGUUCUUUGAUGAAUAUUCAAGUAUUACAAUAGCCUAUAAUUGCUACUCUUUGGUUUCUGAAAAUCAUUGCAAUUAGAAUUUUUAAGUAUUCGCGAGAUCAUUUUUUUAAUUAAAUUUAAUGAUAUCAAACUGAUUUUGCUGUUUAAAAUACAAAGGAAUAUAUUAAGAUGAUUUUUUACUACAUUUGUUCUCAUAAUGGAUGUGUAAUUUAUUUAAGGAUGAAUCAAACAAAAUUUUGUUAAAAUGUUCGUAAAAUAAAAUUUAUUUAAAAUUCUCAUUUAAUAUCACUUGACUGAUGAGGGUUAUAUUCAUUUGAUCUCGCUGUAUAAUUUCUUCCAUAGGGUUAAAAUAACCCCGUCGGUCGUAACAGUCAACACGCAUAUUUUCUACUCGGUUGUAGACACGACCCUUUAUUUUUGCCUAGUUACAGGGUAAAGACAUGCGCUUGUGAGAUUUAAACAAGGGCAAGGUCAUCGUCCUUUCAUUGCCGCCGUCAUCGUCUCCACCCCAACCGAUCAAUAAUAAACUUUGCAGCGUCGUAUCUGUACUCGUUUCUUAAAUUGUUUAUUUAGCUGAAACAAUAGAGAAUCAUAAAUGAAAUUCAAUAAGAUAUAAUUUAACGUUGACAUACUUCGUAGUUAACUUGUAAAUACGAACAUAAACAAAUGUAUAUGUUUUCGAAAGUGUAGAUCUCAUUAAGCCCACGGGCGAUCAAAAAGAUUCUUUCAUUUUAGAUCUACUGACAGAAUUCUAUUUUAUCUUACACGAUUAUCGCCCACACUCCAUUCUCAAGAUUAUAGUUAAUUUUGAAUUAGAAUCAGAAAAGAAGGGUCAUUAAACUUAAUUUUUUUUUGAGAGAUAAUUAAAAAUAUAUGAUUAAAAAAACGGCGAUGUCAAACAUUUGAAUAAAUUACUCUGUUAUUAUUAAAAACUGGACUUAAUUGUUUUUAUAUUAUAUAUUUGUAAAAGCCAUUUUAUACAGACCCAAGUUUAUACAAACUCAUUAUGGGCAAUGAAAAUUUACAAUGAAUAUUGUGUUUUUUAGCUUUAAAUAUGUCAAAAAAAACCCUAUUUUAAUGUAGAUGGACAUUUAGGUGCCACUAAUUUGAAAAACUUCUAGUUUCUUAAAAUUAAAAAAAAUAUAUCUCAAAAUUACACUACCGUAAAAAUUUAAACAAUUUUUUUCUGCAUUUUAAAAUAGAUGUAAUUUUUUUUAAACAAUGAUCCAAAUGAGAUUUCAAUUGAGUAUACUAGAGAUAAUAAACUUAUCUUUUGGUAUGCUUAUUAAAAAAUUCGAUAAAACCUAUGCACUAGACUGGUUUAAAAGAGACUACUUACAAAUAUGGGUACCUGAAAAGUCUUAUAACCUCUGAUAUUAUUUAUCUUAGUUAAUUUAUAUUAUAGCCAAAAAUUGCGUAAUUCCUGUAAAAAUGCGUAACUUUUUUCA